rnacentral:rRNA from 1 species
GGGGGGUUUCGGAUUAUUGGGCGUAAGCGCGCGUAGGCGGCUUGUUAAGCGAGAUGUGAAAACCGGGGGCUCAACCCGCGGCCUGCAUCUCGAACUGGCAGGCUUGAGUCUGGUAGAGGAAAGUGGAAUUCCUGGUGUAGCGGUGAAAUGCGCAGAUAUCAGGAGGAACACCAGUGGCGAAGGCGGCUUUCUGGGCCACGACUGACGCUGAGGCGCGAAAGCUAGGGGAGCAAACAGGAUUAGAUACCCUGGUAGUCCUAGCCGUAAACGAUGGGCACUAGGUGUGGGGGGUCAUCGACUCCCUCCGUGCCGAAGCUAACGCAUUAAGUGCCCCGCCUGGGGAGUACGGCCGCAAGGCUAAAACUCAAAGGAAUUGACGGGGGCCCGCACAAGCAGCGGAGCAUGUGGCUUAAUUCGACGCAACGCGAAGAACCUUACCAGGGCUUGACAUGCAGGGAAAAGCGGCGGAAACGUCGUGUCCGCAAGGGCCCUGCACAGGUGGUGCAUGGCUGUCGUCAGCUCGUGUCGUGAGCUGUUGGGUUAAGUCCCGCAACGAGCGCAACCCUCGCCAUUAGUUGCCAUCAUUAAGUUGGGCACUCUAGUGGGACUGCCGGUGAUAAGCCGGAGGAAGGUGGGGGUGACGUCAAGUCAUCAUGGCCCUUACGGGCUGGGCUACACACGUGCUACAAUGGCGGUGACAAUGCGCAGCCACCUAGCGAUAGGGAGCUAAUCGCAAAAAGCCGUCUCAGUUCGGAUUGGUCUCUGCAACCCGAGACCAUGAAGUUGGAAUCGCUAGUAAUCGCGCAUCAGCAUGGCGCGGUGAAUACGUUCCCGGGCCUUGUACACACCGCCCGUCACACCAUGGGAGUUGGUUUUACCCGAAGGCGAUGCGCCAACCGCAAGGAGGCAGUCGACCACGGUAAGGUCAGCGACUGGGGUGAAGUCGUAACAAGG